rnacentral:sRNA from 1 species
UUGCGCAAGUGAUGUUUAUUUCCGCAAUCUUAGCAAUCAUCUGUCGACGCCCCAGGCUUAUUCUUAUUACCAAGAUCACUGCUCGGACAAACAGUCCAAUGCAGCCCGCCCAAGCAGGCCGGCUGCGGUCGCGGCACCCACCGGUGCUGGCAGGCCCCCGAGCUGCACACUGUCCAGAAGACGGCGUGAGGUGAGCCGACGUCAAAAGCGUCGAGCACGGACGAAGUUCUCAAGGGGAGGCCGACGGGUCUCCCU